UACGUAGGGUGCGAGCGUUGUCCGGAAUUAUUGGGCGUAAAGAGCUUGUAGGUGGUUUGUCGCGUCUGCUGUGAAAAUCCGAGGCUCAACCUCGGACUUGCAGUGGGUACGGGCAGACUAGAGUGUGGUAGGGGAGACUGGAAUUCCUGGUGUAGCGGUGGAAUACGCAGAUAUCAGGAGGAACACCGAUGGCGAAGGCAGGUCUCUGGGCAUUAACUGACGCUGAGGAGCGAAAGCAUGGGGAGCGAACAGG
rnacentral:rRNA from 1 species